UGAAGUUUGUUGAAGUAGAUAGGAAUUCAUCAAAUAGACACCAUGUCGUAAGUAUAUUAGACUCAUAAUUAAUCAUUUUCAAUGGAAGAGUAAUAUUAUUUUUUUUAUAAUCAUUUAUCUUGAAUAAUGUUUUAAUAUUAUUUAUUCAACAGUCAAUAAAACUCAAUCACUGCCAAGUCUUUUCUACUCAAUUUAAAUUUUGUUGAAGUCAAUACGAAUUCAUUGCCAUUUGUCAUCUGGACUUUUUCUACUUCAACAUUUAAAUUGCAAAUUUUGUAUUGAGUAAAAUGCCAUGACAGGGAUUCAGUUUAAUAAAACCCAAACAUUCUUUAUCGGUGGUUUUAUUAAACUGAACCACUGUCAAGACCUUUUCUAUUCAAUUUGAAGUUUGUUGAAGUAGAUAGGAAUUCAUGGAAUAGACCCCAUGUCGUAAGUAUAUUAGACUCAUAAUAAUUAACCUUUUUAAUGGUAGAAUAAUAUUUGUGUAAUCAUUUAUCUGGAAUAAUGUUUGAAUAUUAUUUAUUUAACAGUCAAUUAAAAUCAAUCACUGUCGUGUCAUUUCUACUCAAUUAAAAUUUUGUUCAAGUCUUUACGAAUUCAUCGCCAUUUGUCAUCUGGACUUUUUCUACUUCAACAUUUAAAUUGCAAAUUUUGUAUUGAGUAAAAUGCCAUGACAGGGAUUCGGUUUAAAGAAACCUAAAUAAGUUUUCUCGGUAACUUUAAACCGAACCACUGUCAAGACCUUUUCUAUUCAAUUUGAAGUUUGUUGAAGUAGAUAGGAAUUCAUCAAAUAGACACCAUGUCGUAAGUAUAUUAGACUCAUAAUUAAUCAUUUUCAAUGGAAGAGUAAUAUUAUUUAUUCAACAGUCAAUAAAACUCAAUCACUGUCAAGUCUUCUCUACUCAAUUUAAAUUUUGUUGAUGUUAAUACGAAUUCAUCAAAUAGACGCCAUGAGGUUAGUAUAUUAGACUCAUAAUAAUUAAUAAUUUUAAAUGGUAGAAUAAUAUUUGUGUAAUCAUAUAUCUUGAAUAAUGUUUGAAUAUUAUUUAUUUAACAGUCAAUUAAAAUCAAUCACUGUCAAGUCUUUUCUACUCAAUUUAAAUUUUGUUGAAGUCAAUACGAAUUCAUUGCCAUUUGUCAUCUGGACUUUUUCUACUUCAACGGUUAAAUUGCAAAUUUUGUAUUGAGUAAAAAGUUUAAUUAAACCACGAAAGGAUUUCAAUGUUUAAUUAAACUGAAACACUGUCAAGUCAUUUCUACUCAAUUUAAGGUUUGUUGAUGUUAAUACGAAUUCAUCAAAUAGACGCCAUGAGGUUAGUAUAUUAGACUCAUAAUAAUUAAUAAUUUUAAAUGGUAGAAUAAUAUUUGUGUAAUCAUUUAUCUGGAAUAAUGUUUGAAUAUUAUUUAUUUAACAGUCAAUUAAAAUCAAUCACUGUCGUGUCAUUUCUACUCAAUUAAAAUUUUGUUCAAGUCUUUACGAAUUCAUCGCCAUUUGUCAUCUGGACUUUUUCUACUUCAACAUUUAAAUUGCAAAUUUUGUAUUGAGUAAAAUGCCAUGACAGGGAUUCAGUUUAAUAAAACCCAAACAUUCUUUAUUGGUGGUUUUAUUAAACUGAACCACUGUCAAGACCUUUUCUAUUCAAUUUGAAGUUUGUUGAAGUAGAUAGGAAUUCAUGGAAUAGACCCCAUGUCGUAAGUAUAAUAGACUCAUAAUUAAUAACCUUUUUAAUGGUAGAAUAAUAUUUGUGUAAUCAUUUAUCUUGAAUAAUGUUUUAAUAUUAUUUAUUCAACAGUCAAUAUAUUCUGAUUGUAGUUUACUUGUUACUCCAUUAUUACAACCAUGUGUUUCUGUAGUUUGACAUUUUUACAAUUUAUGUGAUCCUAAAUUAUUCAAUAUUUCUACACAUUCAUAAUAUUUAUAUUUUUUAUUUUAUUGAUCUAAUACAACUAAGGCAUCAUUGGCCGUUAUUUUGGUGAACAUUUUGUUUGUUUACAUUGAGGAUUAAUAUGAUAUUUUUUUUCAAAUCAUUGUAAAGACAUUUAAGUUAAAAUGAAAGGUUGGAUAAAUUUAAAAAUGAAGAAUUCUGACAUUAUUGAUAAAAAUACUCCUCCGGUUAUGAAAAGAGUCAGAAGCUGCAAAUAGCUCAAGUAAAAUUGCAUUAUCAAAUGAUCCAAUAAAAAAGUAUAUGAUGAUGAAAGUACCGAUAUAAACUAAUAAAUCAGUAAUUCUGUGUUAUGUGAGAUACGAAUAUGAAAAUGUAUCUUUAAUUUGUAAUAAUAAAUAAUUAUUAUAACUUUGGUUAGAAUAACAUGAGAUGUUUUUGUAAAAAAAUAAUAAUUGUAUUUUUAAUUCAUUGUAUUUUUAAACAAAUUUAUUAUUUCUGCAGAGACCUAAGAAAUUUUAUUUUGUUACAAAUUAGUUUAUCAUUUGCCUUAUUUUUAAAUGCUGCUAGUGAAAUUUUCCAAUGAUAAUUUUUUUUUUUUGCUUCUUUAAUUUAGGAUUUUGAAAGGUACUUUAGGUUUUCAAUUUUUUGCUUUUGUACUUUUUUACUUAGAUUUUGUGAACAUUUACAUUCAGAAUUUUAAAGUUUUUGAUUUUUAAUACUUCAGAAAAAAGGAACUAAUUUGAUUUUUUUAGAUUCCAUCUUUCUAUAUUAACUUAGGUACACUCCUGUUAUCUCGACUACUGAUAUACUUCAGGUAGAAUUACCUAGUAUAUGAAUGCUUAACUAAAAUCAACUAUGAAUAUAAAUAUUAACUCCCAUAUAAAUACAAUUUGAUUUAAAAAUAAUUAAACUAUUAAAAAAUCAAUACAAAUGUAUUAAAUUAAAAUAAAAAAUUUAAUAUUGUAACCAUUAAGUGACUAGCAAAUAUCAAGUAUAAGUUUUAAUUAUUUUUAAUUUUGAUGUCUGUCGUAUUAGAUGUAAACAACAGAAUCCUAAAUAUCUGAAGGAGUUGGAGGAGUAUUUGAAAAUUGUUCUUCACUUAAAUUAUCAAGAGUGUCUAGAAAUUCUAUAACUUACACUUAAUUUAUCUAAAUGAUUAUCUCUUAACUUCAUUUCUGUUUCAGUAAUAGCUUAUUCAAUAUCAUUUGAAUAAAAUUCACUUACAUUUUUUCAGCACUCUUUGAACAUUAUUUUAAUUAAAAAUGAGAAAUGACAGCUAUCUAUAAUACUUCUAUGGUUUGUAAAUCAGCCAUUUAGUAGUUUUUGUUAUUCAAUCAUUUUGAGAAAUGUACAAAUUAUAUUUUGAUAAGUUACAAAAAAUAUAUAUCAUGUUAGUAUAUAUGCCAUGUCAUGUUUUAUAACUACCAAAUAUCUCCCAUACCUACUAACUUAUAAGGCUCUUAAUGAAGUUUUUUAAGCUUUUUUUUUUAACACUAGUGAUAGAAAUUUAUCUAAAUUAAAUUAUGUCAUUUUUAUUUUAUAGGAUUAUUGAAAAACAAAUUCUCGCCAUCAAUUCAAAAUUCAAAUGAUGUUAACUAGAUCCUGGACAUUGAUGAGAAUAACAAAGGCAGAAAACUGCAUAGCUGAACAAUUAAAAUGUAUGUUAUUUUGGAAACAAAAUUUGUUUAUUAUUAAUUUAAAGGAGGUCAGGUAUAUUGAAGUUUAUUACCUUGUUGCUGGUGUUGGAUUUAAUUACUUAAUAUAAAUAAUUGUUUUUGUAUAACUGAUAAUUAUAUUAGUAAAUUGUAUAAUUUAUUUAAAUAUAUGAAACAAUCAGCUAAACAAAAAAAUAAUCUACAUUUAACAUUUCAUAUUUUUUAUACACUGGGCAAUGUAAGAUUAUAUUUUUUCUCUAUAUGCAUUUAUUUGACAUAAUAGGUAAAUUCUUAAAUACUACUACAUUAUUAAUAUUAUAUUUCCAAUACUUAAUAUAUAUUUACACCACAAUCAUACAUUAAUCUUGUAGUUUUACUAAAAAUUCAAAUGUGGUUUAAUAAUAAUGAUAUUAUAUUAUGUCAUUAAAACAUAACAAAGUUUAGACUAGAUUAUAAUAUAUAUAAAUUUUAAUUACAUUUUUAAAACCUCCAUAUAAAAUACAAAAUUUUUUUUCUUCAUAACUUAAUCAAUAAAAAUUAAUUUUUCUCUUGUAUGCUGUUUUUGUUUCAGAAAUUUUAACAUAGAAAUUAUUGUUAGAUGAUUGGAAAAAUAUACCUGUGAAAUAUAAGGUAUACCUCAAUAUAUGAACUGUGUCGCUGUAUUAAAUGAGAUUUCAUGUUUGAUAAACAAUAAGAAUGUAGUUCAGCAAGAAUUGAUACAGAGGAAAACAUCUAACACCACUGUAUAAGUGGUGUUAGAUGUGUUUUCCAAUCAAUACAAUUUACAAAUAAGUUCAAAGUACUUUAGAAGUAACCAUAAUACUGACUUAGGAUAUUAUUACUAGAUUAUAUGUAGUAUUUUUUUCAAAAUAUAAUUUAAUUUUACUGCAAUUAAAUAAAAACUAUGAUUUGUUACUUAUAUUUUUUAGAUUCCGAGUGUAAUAAAGAAUAUAUUAUUUUUACAA
rnacentral:lncRNA from 1 species